rnacentral:rRNA from 1 species
UGGGGAAUAUUGCACAAUGGGGGAAACCCUGAUGCAGCGACGCCGCGUGAGCGAUGAAGGCUUUCGAGUCGUAAAGCUCUGUCCUAUGGGAAGAUAAUGACGGUACCAUAGAAGAAAGCCCCGGCUAAUUACGUGCCAGCAGCCGCGGUAAUACGUAAGGGGCGAGCGUUGUCCGGAUUUAUUGGGCGUAAAGCGAGCGCAGGCGGUUAGAAAAGUCUGAAGUGAAAGGCAGUGGCUCAACCAUUGUAGGCUUUGGAAACUGUUUAACUUGAGUGCAGAAGGGGAGAGUGGAAUUCCAUGGGUAGCGGUGAAAUGCGUAGAUAUAUGGAGGAACACCGGUGGCGAAAGCGGCUCUCUGGUCUGUAACUGACGCUGAGGCUCGAAAGCGUGGGGAGCGAACAGG